GGAGCCAUCUGUGCUGGACAUGUAUCCUCGUGGGCAGGUGCACACGUAACUUCCAGCCGUGUUGGUGCACUCGCCUCCAUCGCACACGCCGGGGAAAACAUGGAUGCCUUCGGGCUACAUUCUACCAAGCAGACCAGAAGUCAGCAAUAAGUAGAUCCUACUGCAUCCAGCAGUCACUAAGGAAUUUACACCAGGAGGGAAGACGACUUGAGUAGUUAAAAAAAAAAACGGGAGAAGGCAUUGACAUUGAUCAUUACCAAAGAAGCACCGCUCGAUUUCAAAAAUCUUGAUGAUCCCUACUAUGCUAAACUUUAAAAGAAUUCAUUCUCUUCAAUGCUACCUUCCGCCUUUUAUGUUGGCUUAACUGGAUGACAGCCGGUUGUCCUUUAGUCCUCACAUGUUUGCUUUCCUUUCUUUCUCCACAUUCCAGCAGUCACCCUCAUGCUUUCAAAAUCCUAAUCGCAAGUUCAACAUUAAUUUCCUCUUUCUCUCUCCACAUGUAUCGUCUUUUUUUUUCCCACCAUCUGUUUAUGUCUCUUGCUUCAACAUUUCUGGCUUGCCGAGACCUUGCAGCAGCAGAAGGGAAGUGGCCGGGCAUCUCCAGCCGACAUCACCCCCACCUCUCCUUGGUCUAAUGAGAUCUUCCGCAAAGAGUCUGCCAAGUCCAGGAAGAGUCCUCACGUGCAAAACACAAAAGCUUCUUCGGUCUGGUUUAUGUCUCGUGACGACAAGGCGAUAAAUUAAAGCAAACAGCAUCAGACUGGAACUGGCUGGCUUUUUAGUUGAGUGUGCAAUUGUCUUUUUCUUUUUUGCGGUUGAGCUCAUCUCAAGGGAGAGACUAAGUCAGGUUUUCCUCUCAUGGAUGGAACACCAGCCAUGUUGAAGGCAUUGAUGUCCAAGGUCUAUUGACUUAUCUCGGGCCAAGAUGUGCAACAUGAAACACGAUGGCACGAAGAGAUAACAAAUUGUGUGGAAAAUUGUUCUGAUGUGCGCCAAAAGUGUUGGGAGCUGGAAGGGAGGAGUACAAAGAGGAGCAAACAAGCCCAUUUGGCGACAAGAGAAGAUGAUCUCACUGGCUAACUUUGCACCUCCUCCUCCUUGUGCCUUUGCAUCUUUUGCAGGUUGAGAGAGAGAAGGAGUGAGGCGGUUCACCCCAAUGACCCCGUGUGCUUGGAAAGUUGCACGUGCACAGCAAGGGGCUGUUGGGGGAUGUGCAUACGUGUUAAGGUCUUUGCUGUGGAGCACCACAAUGCACCUCUGUCUUAGAGCAAGCGUUGUCGCUCAGCUGCUCACAUCUGGGUGCUUUUUACGAGAGGCUGCGAAACACAGGAAGUCAACUUUGUGUGUGUGUGUGCGUGUGUGUGAUGGAAAACUAGCUUUAUUGCUGUUUUGCACUUUGAUUAGCACAGCACACAGAAACUGGUGACGAGGCAGA